rnacentral:rRNA from 1 species
GGUGAGUAACACGUAAGCAACCUGCCUAUCAGAGGGGAACAACAGUUAGAAAUGACUGCUAAUACCGCAUAUGCCUUAGAAUCACAUGGUUCAAAAGGGAAAGGAGCAAUCCGCUGAUAGAUGGGCUUGCGUCUGAUUAGCUAGUUGGUGGGGUAACGGCCUACCAAGGCAACGAUCAGUAGCCGAACUGAGAGGUUGAACGGCCACAUUGGGACUGAGGUACGGCCCAGACUCCUACGGGAGGCAGCAGUCGGGAAUAUUGCGCAAUGGAGGAAACUCUGACGCAGUGACGCCGCGUGCAGGAAGAAGGUUUUCGGAUUGUAAACUGCUUUAGACAGGGAAGAACAAAGACAGUACCUGUAGAAUAAGCUCCGGCUAACUACGUGCCGGCAGCCGCGGUAAUACGUAGGGAGCGAGCGUUAUCCGGAUUUAUUGGGUGUAAAGGGUGCGUA